CACUCCUCCCGGCGUUGCGCCCCGCCGCCUCAACAUGCAUGCCGUUCACCUCCGCCACCCCAGACCGUUCACCUCUGCCACCACUGCCCGUUCAACGCGGCCUCGACAACCCGGCGCAUCAACACCCUCUGUCAACUCCAAUGCGACUUUGUUUAUCUCAACUUCAAAACAUGUUCAGUUCAGAACUUGACAUGGAGGGUGUACUGAUGAUACCCAGCCGAAUGAAGCUCUAAGCUAUCUCCUCAGGUUUUUCUUAUACUAUUUGUAUCUUCAUUCAAAUCCAACAUUGUGAUUCUUACCAAAAUUAAGUAGCUGAAUUUCAGUGCACAAUUGUAUAAUGUCUGAUCAAGCAGAUUUAGGUCUUGCCAUUAGCUGCUAAUUGUCUCUCCUGGGACAUUUUAAUUCUGAAUUAGAAUAUUUAAAUAAUAAAAUGCAUGUUAUACUAAAUUUUGAUCUUUCCAACUAACACUCCACUGCACAUACAAUUUUAUUGAUGGUGGUUCUUCUGUUUCUUCCACAUUUUACGACAGUGAGUGGUGAAAGUUUAGUGCCAAAAUGUUGGUUCUCUUGUUUUUGGCACAUUCUGUAGUAUAUGUCUUUUUUUGCUGGUGAGCCAGUGUCGCUACUGAAACUUUUUCUCCUGUUUCUUGCACAUUCAGUUACAUAGUGCCUUUGUAGGGCCAUCAAAGAUCGCCUACCUCCAUGGGCAUCUCAUGGCAAAGCGAAACGGUGCUGUGCAUUUUCGCUAGCUCUCUUUGUUUUCUUUUUCGUGCCUAGCUACCACGGCAUCGCUUGGUUUUACUGCUUUUAGAAAGAGUUCAACUAAAAUAUUCUGAGUAGUUCAAAUACAAGAGUCGAGAAAAGUACAUAAUUUUGACAAAGCGGGAGCAGAGUUUUGACAAAGUGGGAAGAGAGUAGUUCAGGUACUAGAGAACUCCACCAAAAAUAGUGUUUUAUUAGGAUGAUAGGGGAAGAGAGUAGUCCGGGAUAGCAAGUUCAUUGCACAAAAAAUGCUGGGAAGUUCAUAUGAAGUACGAACAACUAGGUAGAAAGGUUUGCCCAAAAAAUACCUUGGCCAAUUCACAUGGUAGACACCCUACAUAAAUGUUUUUUCCUUUGUCCACUCCUCUUCCCCAUGAGCUCUAGCGCUGGGGUAAGUACUGCAGUUUGGAAAUCAUCUUCUAUUCUCCCAAAAAAUAAGUUUGUCUUCUAAAGGUUGAAGUGAAUGGGCUAGGAAGCUUUAUAAGAAAUUGUUUUGUUUCCGUGUCUACAUUCCAUAGUAGAUGGUGCAUCAUGGUAAAAGCUAGGUUUGGUGUGUAGCCUAGAGUACAUGAGAGCCUCAUGUUCUAUGAACAUAUUUAGUGCAAGUUUUGCUUCUGAAAACUAACAUUCUUCAUCAUGUACUGAUCCGUUUAACCUGUGGAUGUGUUUAAAAAACUAAUGUUUGGCAUGUACUGAAAAUUCCUUGAAAACGAAGAGUAAAUAGCAUCAGUGAGUUCUAGUACCUAAAUUGUAUAAGUUCAUUAACAAAAAUAUAUCAGCAGAAGUAUCAUGUUAGUUCAUGUUUAGAUGUCGGGCAAGCUAAAAAAUUAGAGCUCAAGAAAUAAAAAAAACUGAACCACCGGGAAGGUUGCUGGAAACAAAUCCUCUGUUAGUUCACCAGUCCGUUCAUGAUAAGAUAUUCUAUGGAACAUUUGCAAACAGUAGUGAUUUUGUUUUUGGGUGUUUUCCGUUGAUCUGUGCUCAAGAAACAUGAGAAUCCUAUUGAUUAUUAGUGAGAGUACAAGCUCAUAGUUUGCAAGCCUUUUGUGAUUCUUAAGUGAUCAGAGAGAGUAGCAUAGAGAAACGUUGUUGUGUUCUGGAUGACAAAGAACACAUGUGACAGUAAGUCCAGGUAUUUCAACAUGAGGAGUACAAAAUUACUUUUACUGAGAGUUCACUUGAAUCCUUGAUAGCUACUGGCCAUAGGAACUUAACCCACAAAAAUGUGCAAAAAAGAACCAUUUUGUACUACCAUUAGUAUGAUGUGUAAUGUUUUAUUUUUUGCUACCCUAGCAUUGAAUUAGCACAACAUUUUCAAGAGCUGCACCCUCAUUAUUUAUUUCUUGUACUGUUAAUUUUAUUUUCAGAACCGAACUUGUACAGGGUACAUGAGUUCCAAUAGUAGCUUCCUUUGCAAAAAAAAUACAUAAUCAAGCAUUCUUGCUGUGUUGCCUUUCUUUCCAAAUAUAUAGAUUGCCAGUUUUGAAUCCGAUUCUCAAAUAGACAAUCAUAAUUCUAUUGCCAGUUCCGAAAUAAAGAAAUGUAUGCGUAACAGUACCACAACAGCACCAAAACGAAUCCUCAUCCUUGGUAACUUACUGGCUUUGAUCUUCUAGGGCAGUAUUAUGUGAUCCUUAGUUUACUUACAAGUGGAAUGUGGGCAGAUGUUGCUCAACAAGUCUGCGGUAUUAAGGCUAGCUGCUAGUACAUAUUAUGGAGUUGGGGACAUGAGGGAGCGAGUGGUACAUGGAUCGGUGGGUGUAGUCUUUGUAGGUUGAGUAGAUUCUUGUUGAAACAACUCUUGUACAACUCUUUCUAUCUCACACAUAUUUCUAGUUUUUGCAUGGGGCAUCUUCUAGCAUAUGAUUGAAACCCAUUUCCCAUUGUAUUAUGCAUUUAAAAACUCAUAAGUACUUAGGAGUUCAUUUGUGGUGGUUAGCAAUUCAAUAGCUAGAAAAAUGAUACAUCGGUUCAAAUAUGCUUGCCAUAAGUAUUUAAGAGUUUAUUUGCGGUGGUUAAAAAUGAAGGUACUUUGUUCCGAGGACAAGAACAACUAGAAGUUCAAAUGCUGAUGUGUUAAAAAAACUCCAGCUACUUUGUUUAAGCUUUUGAUGUCUUAAUUGCUGCACUUCUAUAUAGAAUUUGGUGGCUCACUUUUGCUAAUUUUCUGCAGUUCUCAGGUUAGAAAACGAUUAGUUCCAUGUGUAUUUAACAGCAUGUCCAUGUAUAUUUAACACCAAGUCCAUGUAUUACUACAUGAGAAGUACUGCUAGUGAGACUUCACUACUCCAUUCCAACAAACGUGUAUAUGCAAUCCUGGUUUGACAAAGUACUCUGCUACUGCUGGUUUCAGUUCCCUCACUGGAUUUGCAGGCUCACGACCAUCCUCUAACACCCCGUCAGUGCCACCGAUUUGAAGGAGCUCCAUGACUAGUAUCUCUGAGUUCUAAUGCUCCUAACGAUCGUUUGGAAUCUUAUAUUCAAUAUCUUGCUGAUAUGGAAUAGUAGAAUGUCGCAAUAUAUACUUGUACAAUUUUUUUUAGUACUGAUGACUAGUACUUACCUUGACAGUACAACGGCAUGCUUCGCUGCCGGUUGCGAGGAUGUGCAACAUAUGUUUAAGCAAGCAUUUAUGUUGUAUUACAAACAAAAAUCUUUCCUCUGUUCCAUAGAAGAUUGUGU
rnacentral:rRNA from 1 species